GAUGAACGCUGGCGGCGUGCCUAAUACAUGCAAGUCGAGCGAACAGAUAAGGAGCUUGCUCCUCUGACGUUAGCGGCGGACGGGUGAGUAACACGUGGAUAACCUACCUAUAAGACUGGGAUAACUUCGGGAAACCGGAGCUAAUACCGGAUAAUAUAUUGAACCGCAUGGUUCAAUAGUGAAAGACGGUUUUGCUGUCACUUAUAGAUGGAUCCGCGCCGCAUUAGCUAGUUGGUAAGGUAACGGCUUACCAAGGCAACGAUGCGUAGCCGACCUGAGAGGGUGAUCGGCCACACUGGAACUGAGACACGGUCCAGACUCCUACGGGAGGCAGCAGUAGGGAAUCCUCCGCAAUGGGCGAAAGCCUGGCGGAGCAACGCCGCGUGAGUGAUGAAGGUCUUCGGAUCGUAAAACUCUGUUAUUAGGGAAGAACAAAUGUGUAAGUAACUAUGCACGUCUUGACGGUACCUAAUCAGAAAGCCACGGCUAACUACGUG
rnacentral:rRNA from 1 species